CGAUGAAGAAAAGAGGAUACUUUGAGUUUAUAAUAUGCUUCAGUUGUUGAUUGAUAUCGUAACAGUUAGGACCAUUGUAAAAUAUAUUAUUAAAUUUGGCGAUAUCAUAACGAAAGUGUGAUAUAUCUGAAAAGAACAAAUUUUAAUUACAGGAAAAUAUUACAGAAGAGAUAUAUACAAAAACGACAUAUAAAGAAGCAACAUAUAAAAAGGAAUUUACACAAAUAUUUAUAUAAAAAAAAAAAAAGAAAAAGAAAUAAAAUGGCAUUAAGUUUAGCAUUACCAUUAUCCGGAAUAGAAGCCGAACAUUUUUACGCACUAGGAAUGAGAAUACUAUAUGAACAAGGUUUAAGAACAUUAAAUGGGAUUGGACCUAUAUCACCCAGUAUUGGAAGUGAAUCCAGUGGCAUUAGUAGUCUCACUCCUUCUCUGGAACCUGAUUUUAUAGCGAAUAAUCCCAAUUCUACAGCGCCUUCAUCACUUGCUAAUUCCGCAGAAGAUUCGGGACAAGGCGAUAGAUUAAAUGACAUAGAAAUAAUAAAUGUUCCAUGUAAAGUGAUCUAUUGCGGGCGAGACAUAUUAAACUUAGGUGCAAAUAUGCGAGAACCAUCCUGGCGACUAUUGAUCCCAUAUACUUGCAACCAUAAUAAUGUCACGGACAAUAACUCGAAUUAUCAUCUUCUAAGCGAAAAAGCACUGACUGAAGAAUAUCCAAUGAUUUUUAUAUGGCCAUUCUAAAUUCUCGGACUUUUUCAAUUUAUAAAGGUUAUAAAAUGCAAGCAUCAAGAUAAACAUCGUGAUGGUACUACACUUAACGAGCCAAUAUUUUCCCCAAUAAUAAAAAAUGCUCAGACUGCGGCUUCUCUGAAUUAUCACUUUCUUCCUGUUUUUAAUACUAUUCCGAUCUAUCACACAAUCGCCAAUGAAAUAAGUUAAAUAUUAUCAAUAGUAUGACACAACGACAUCAAAGAACAAUUGCUUUAGAAAAAAAACAACCAUUAAAAAAAAAAGGUUUUGUUAUUUUGUCAUUUUGUUAUACGACAGACGUAGUAAACUUUUACUUUCUGAUAUAUUGUUUUAUGUUAUAAAAUAAACUUGAAACAGAAUGUUAUUGGUUUAUAUACUCGUCAAUCGUAUACAAAAAGAGAAAAUAAUUAUGGCAAAUUCUGAGGCGGCGACCAACUCCAAAAAAAAGUUAACUAUUAAAUACAGUUAAUAGUUAACUCAAACCAAUGAAAUAGCACAUAAAUAGAUUUAAAAAAAAAAAAAAAAUAAUUUUAAAUCCAUAAUAUACGAAUAUAUAUUGAUUUUAAAGUUGUAAAAUUUUUUACAAUUUGUAAAAAUUUUACAAAUUAAUCUCAAAUCCAUAUAAUACGAUUAGAAAUAUCUAUACCAAAAAUAAAUCCAAAAUAUUGAAGUAAAUUAUUUAUAAUAUAUUCGUACAUAUAUUUGAAGUUAGAUAUCGUUCUCAUACGAAUAAUAAUAUUUCAAAUGAAAUAAAAUUAAAUAUUUCUUAUGAAAUAAAAUUAAAUAUUUCUUAUGAAAUAAAAUUAUACAUAUAUAUAUAUAUAUACAAAUGCUUUAUAAAUACCUAUCAAUUUAUAAAUUUAUACGGAGUCGGGUGUGGGCCGCGAAAAAUUAAUCAUAAGAUAGUAAUUAUUCGUAUAUAAUUAACACCCGACAAUAAAAUACAUCAAUUACAGAAUAUUUUACGAAAUUUCAUUAAUUUUUGAUAUUAUAACAUUUUCAUGACAAUAGCCUGAAUUUACAUAUAACAAUUAUAGUUAUUUUUUCGAAUAUAAAACAGUUUUUUAACA